GGACUCUGUCUUCACUGUGGAGGAGAUGGCAACGUGCUCCGUCACGGGGGAAAAAAGGGAUUGUGGGGGAAAAAAAAAAGACAGCGGCUUGAUGUGGACAAAGUGAAGUCAGUGAUUGAUCAUGUCAAAAGUGUUCACAAGGGUGUUGGGGACACUGAAAUCAAGGCCUGCAUGGCACAAAAAUUAAGACAUCCAGAGACGAGCAGAGAAGGAAAAAUGGGGACCAUCUGGAGGAGACCAAGAAGAUGAGGGAUGCGACGAUGCAGAAGUUACAGAAAAGUUCAAAGUUUGUUUAAAGGAAUAGUUUGACAUUUUGGGAGUUAGAUAAGACUGACACCAUUUUCAUGUCUGUUAAUUAACCCUCCUGUUGUCCAAGGAUGGAAGGAGGAAAAGGUGAAGAAGGGAAUGAAGGAAAGGAGGAAUACUAUAUAUCAUGUAUUUAUGUUUAAGAUAAAAUAACA